GCGGCCUAUCAGCUUGUUGGUGGGGUAAUGGCCUACCAAGGCAACGACGGGUAGCUGGUCUGAGAGGAUGAUCAGCCACACUGGGACUGAGACACGGCCCAGACUCCUACGGGAGGCAGCAGUGGGGAAUCUUGCGCAAUGGGCGAAAGCCUGACGCAGCAACGCCGCGUGCGGGAUGAAGGCCUUCGGGUUGUAAACCGCUUUCAGCAGGAACGAAAAUGACGGUACCUGCAGAAGAAGGAGCGGCCAACUACGUGCCAGCAGCCGCGGUGACACGUAGGUUCCAAGCGUUGUCCGGAUUUAUUGGGCGUAAAGAGCUCGUAGGCGGUUUAGUAAGUCGGGUGUUAAAACUCUGGGCUCAACCCGGAGACGCCAUCCGAUACUACUAUGACUUGAGUUCAGGAGGGGAGACUGGAAUUCCU
rnacentral:rRNA from 1 species